rnacentral:rRNA from 1 species
AUUGAACGCUGGCGGCAUGCCUUACACAUGCAAGUCGAACGGCAGCGCGGGAGCAAUCCUGGCGGCGAGUGGCGAACGGGUGAGUAAUAUAUCGGAACGCGCCCUAGAGUGGGGGAUAACUAGUCGAAAGAUUAGCUAAUACCGCAUACGAUCUACGGAUGAAAGUGGGGGAUCGCAAGACCUCAUGCUCGUGGAGCGGCCGAUAUCUGAUUAGCUAGUUGGUAGGGUAAAAGCCUACCAAGGCCACGAUCAGUAGCUGGUCUGAGAGGACGAACAGCCACACUGGGACUGAGACACGGCCCAGACUCCUACGGGAGGCAUGAGUGGGGAAUUUUGGACAAUGGGGGAAACCCUGAUCCAGCAAUGCCGCGUGUGUGAAGAAGGCCUUCGGGUUGUAAAGCACUUUUGUCCGGAACGAAACGGGCCGAGCUAAUAUCUUGGCCUAAUGACGGUACCGGAAGAAUAAGCACCGGCUAACUACGUGCCAGCAGCCGCCGCCG